GAGUUCAAUCUCAGGACCACAUGAUGGAU
rnacentral:piRNA from 1 species